GUGCUCACUUCAGCAGCACAUAUGCUGAAACUGAAACAAUACAAGGAAGAUGGUUAUGGUCCCUGUGCAAGGCUGAAAUGUAAAUUUAAAAAAAUUGUCUAUUAGGUUUUU